GAUGAACGCUAGCGGCAGGCCUAAUACAUGCAAGUCGAACGGUAAGUAUGAUAGCAAUAUUGUACCAAGAGUGACGUACGGGUGCGUAACACGUAUGCAACCUACCCUUUACAGAUGGAUAGCUCGGGAAACUCGAAUUAACCCGUCAUAGUAUAGUUGAAUGGCAUCAUUUAAUUAUUAAAACUAGAGGUGGUAAAGGAUGGGCAUGCGUCUGAUUAGUUAGUUGGCGGGGAACGGCCCACCAAGACGAUGAUCAGUAGGGGAACUGAGAGGUUGAUCCCCCACACUGGC
rnacentral:rRNA from 1 species